rnacentral:lncRNA from 1 species
UCUGGAGAAAGACAAGCACAGCACAUGGUCUUAUCAGCCUCUCCAAGACCUGGCAAGCUUGAACCAGUGUUAAGCUGUUUAAGACAUUACUAUUAGCUGCCUCCUUGGUCACAGGCUUACAGUAGGGUUCACAAAAAAAAAAAAAAUUGAGAAGGAGAGAAAAAAAAAUAGGGACUUAGCAAGCUAAGCCAGAUUCUAUCUAAACAGGAAAAGGGUGGGGAGGAGGGAGGAAAGACAAAGAUGAGGAAGGACAAGACUGAGAGUGACACCAAGGGCACAAGUUUCAUAUUCUAACCAGCAUUCAGGAUUUAGCCAAAGCUCAUGGAGAAAAGGCUGCUGUUAAAUUCUUCCUCUACCUCUGUCUUGCUGGUCAGCCCAUCUUACCUGCUUCUCUGAUUUCUCAGCACCAGAACCAUGGAAAUAUAAAAGUAUCACUGCAGAUUCUGAGCUCCUGAAAUAUGGUGGGCCUGGCAGCUGAAAUGCAAAAUUAUACUGCUUUCCAUUUUGUUGUCCUCCCAGCGGUACUGUCAAACUAUCAACUGCUAAGUGUGGUGACUGGUAGAAUAUCCCAUCUUCUCAUCAUUUUAUUCAUCUGUUAAAGAAAAAGAAACUUUCAGGCUGGAUUGUUUUUGUUCACGAAAAUCAAGUACAGCAGCUCUACGUCCCAGGUUCUCAGGAUACCCUGAACUUACACUUUUCAGAACCUCAUUGGCCUCCACGCUUAUAUUUCUUGUCACUUCUCCCUGUCAACGUGAGCACCACUGCAGCUGGAGAAGGGCAGCUGAUACUAAAAGCUCUAAGGCUAAGCGGGUAAGUGAAAAUGAACGGGAAAGGACAUUUAACUCAACUUGACGUUGUAGGUGACAUUUCUAAUUUCCAAAAGGCUUUCAGCCCUUGCAAAAUGCAGAAUGACAAAGUUUCUAUGAAAGACUGGCAGACCCAUCUGCCUUGCUAUAAAUGCUAACAAAUUACAUCUGUGAUGAAGGUCGGAGAAAGGCAGGGUAAUAUUUGUCAGAGAAGAAAGAAACAG